UACAGAGGUGGCAAGCGUUGUUCGGAAUUACUGGGCGUAAAGGGCGCGUAGGCGGCCUACUAAGUCAGACGUGAAAUCCCCAGGCUUAACUUGGGAACUGCGUCUGAUACUGGAAGGCUUGAGUGCGGGAGAGGGAUGUGGAAUUCCAGGUGUAGCGGUGAAAUGCGUAGAUAUCUGGAGGAAUACCGGUGGCGAAGGCGGCAUCCUGGACCGGCAUUGACGCUGAUGAGCGAAAGCUAGGGGAGCAAACGGG
rnacentral:rRNA from 1 species